rnacentral:rRNA from 1 species
UACAGAGGUCUCAAGCGUUGUUCGGAUUCAUUGGGCGUAAAGGGUGCGUAGGCGGCGCGGUAAGUCGGGUGUGAAAUCUCGGAGCUUAACUCCGAAACUGCAUUCGAUACUGCCGUGCUUGAGGACUGGAGAGGAGACUGGAAUUUACGGUGUAGCGGUGAAAUGCGUAGAUAUCGCUUGGAACGCCGAGGGUGAAAACAGGCUGCUGGGGUUGCGCCGACGCUGAGACACGAAAGCCAGGGGAGCAAACGGG